CCCUUAGAUGUUCUGGGCCGCACGCGCGCUACACUGUUCGACGCAGCGAGUCUUAACCUUGACCGAAAGGUUUGGGUAAUCUUCAGCAAAGUCGAACGUGAUGGGGAUCGAUCAUUGCAAUUAUUGAUCGUGAACGAGGAAUUCCUAGUAAGUGCAAGUCAUCAGCUUGCGCUGAUUACGUCCCUGCCCUUUGUACACACCGCCCGUCGCUACUACUGAUUGGAUGUUUAAGCGAGGUUCUCGAACUGCUAGCGACUUAGCUUCGGUGAGGUCGCAGUGUGGGAAGUGAACCGAGCUUUGGUGUCUAGAGGAAGUAAAAGUCGUAACA
rnacentral:rRNA from 1 species